UAGAUACCCCGGUAGUCCUGGCCGUAAACGAUGGGUACUAGGUGUAGGAGGUAUCGACCCCUUCUGUGCCGGAGUUAACGCAAUAAGUACCCCGCCUGGGGAGUACGACCGCAAGGUUGAAACUCAAAGGAAUUGACGGGGGCCCGCACAAGCGGUGGAGUAUGUGGUUUAAUUCGACGCAACGCGAAGAACCUUACCAGGUCUUGACAUUGAUGGACAGAACCAGAGAUGGUUCCUCUUCUUCGGAAGCCAGAAAACAGGUGGUGCACGGUUGUCGUCAGCUCGUGUCGUGAGAUGUUGGGUUAAGUCCCGCAACGAGCGCAACCCCUAUCUUAUGUUGCCAGCACUUCGGGUGGGAACUCAUGAGAGACUGCCACAGACAAUGCGGAGGAAGGCGGGGAUGACGUCAAAUCAUCAUGCCCCUUAUGACCUGGGCUACACACGUACUACAAUGGGAGUUAAUAGACGGAAGCGAAAUCGCGAGAUGGAGCAAACCCGAGAAACACUCUCUCAGUUCGGAUCGUAGGCUGCAACUCGCCUACGUGAAGUCGGAAUCGCUAGUAAUCGCAGGUCAGCAUACUGCGGUGAAUACGUUCCCGGGCCUUGUACACACCGCCCGUCACACCACGAAAGUCGGAAGUGCCCAAAGCCGGUGGGGUAACCUUCGGGAGCCA
rnacentral:rRNA from 1 species